rnacentral:snRNA from 1 species
AUGGUGUAAUCCACUCUCAC